AACAAAGUAAAAACUACUCCAUAUAUAUUAAAUGAUAUGCUUUUUAGUCGAUCAAAUAAAUUUUACGGUCUGGCAAACAAAGAUUGAAUCGUGAGAGAAAUAUAAAAAUAACAACAUUAUUGUUACAAAUAUUAUACUCUUAAAAUUAUUAUUUUUAAACUUAAUCUCUAAAACUGUAUACAUUUACAAACACCCCUUACGCACUUCGGAUAUUCCUCUGGCAGACAAUCGGGUUUAGGACAGUCGCGAUCACGAUCGCAUAAAAAAAUUCCUGUGAAAUAUGGAAAAAUGGAUGUUAGUAAUAUGAAAUGAUAUAGGCGCUGAACUUGAUAAAAAAGACUAUGGUUUGGUUCCUGAUAACUGUGAUCGGGAGAGGUUGAAAUCAUUUGAUGUCAGAUUCGAUUUCUGAAUCAGAUUAUGCGGUUCAGUGGAUCUGAUAAUGGUGGUGAAUUUUUUUUUUAUUAUUUUUUUCUUUUUUUAAGAAUAUAGACUUACCAUUAGUUACAAUGAUACACAUGAUGAAAAGUAAAAUAAUCAUCACACAUGCAAACUUCAGAAUUUCUGCCAUAUUUGUUUUUGUUUGAAUGUUGAAAUAGAAAUUUGUAUGAUCAUUUUAUAGUAUG
rnacentral:lncRNA from 1 species